AACCAUUCUCACCUGCGGCUAGACCUGCGGAAGGAUCAUUACAGAGUUGCAAGACUCCCUAAACCAUUGUGAACCUACCUUCUACCGUUGCUUCGGCGGGCGGGCCCAGCGCCCCCCCCGGCCCCCCGCGGGCGCCCGCCGGAGGAUACCCAAACUCUUGACAUUAGUGGCCUCUCUGAGUAUUCUUUACUGAAUAAGUCAAAACUUUUAGCAAUGGAUCU
rnacentral:misc_RNA from 1 species